rnacentral:rRNA from 1 species
UGUUCGUUAUUUAGGGCGCAUGGUGGAUGCCUUGGCAUGCUGAGCCGAUGAAGGACGUGAAAGGCUGCGUUAAGCCUCGGGGAGUUGUCAAUUGAGCGUUGAUCCGAGGAUGUCCGAAUGGGGAAACCUGGCACCUGUUAUGGGGUGUUACCCUUCAGUGAAUUCAUAGCUGUUGUGGGGGUUACGCGGGGAAGUGAAACAUCUCAGUACCCGUAGGAGAAGAAAAUAAUAAUGAUUCUGCUAGUAGUGGCGAACGAACGUGGAUGAGGCUAAACCGUGUGCAUGUGAUACCUGGUAGGGGUUGUGUGUGCGGUGUUGUGGGCCCUGAUGAGGAUGGCUACUGACGUCCUGCCCGCGCAUUGUUGUUAGGUGAAGUGGUGUGGAAACGCCUGCCGUAGAAGGUGAUAGUCCUGUAGCUGAAGAUGAUGGUGUGUGGGUUGUUGGGUUGCCCGAGUAGCAGCGGGCUCGUGGAAUCUGCUGUGAAUCUGCCGGGACCACCCGGUAAGCCUAAAUACUCAGUGUGACCGAUAGUGGAUAGUACCGUGAGGGAAUGGUGAAAAGUACCCCGGGAGGGGAGUGAAAUAGUUCCUGAAACCAUGUGCUUACAAUCCGUCAGAGCACUUUUUGUGUGUGAUGGCGUGCCUUUUGAAGAAUGAGCCUGCGAGUCAGCGGCAUGUCGCGAGGUUAACCCGUGUGGGGUAGCCGUAGGGA